rnacentral:lncRNA from 1 species
UAAUUGUGUUUGAAUCGUUGAUGUUGUCCAAUGUGAGUUUUUGUUCCAAUUUUGUGACUACUAGAUUUUUUCCUCCUGUGAAAUUUUUAUUUUAGUGAUGAAUAUUAACUUAAUUGUGAUUGAGUAUAAUGAUGUAUUCUUGAUAUUUAACUUGCUUUGAAUAUUAAGACUGGAGUUACAAAAGAAAUCAGUAUUCAUAAUUCAAAAGAAUGACCUAGUUUGCUAUUUAUCUUAUCCAUGGAAGAUUUGUGCAAUGAUGCAACUCGAACCUCCAUUUGUGUAUUGGCCAGCAAUGUAUUAAGAAAUAGCCCCCAAAUCAUCUUCCGGUUCUUCAAAAUUAGAAUUUAGAUGAGUUGUAUACUACAUGAAUACAUGUGUUUCAAAAUAUAAAGCUGUAAAAUCUAUCUUAACUUUUUUUCUGGAGAAUUGAUUUGUACCAUUACCAAGAGUCUCAACUAUAUUUCAGCUCAUUUUCAUGCUUGAAUGAAACUUUAAACAAUGUUUUCUCCUUGUACUGGGAAAUUCAAGUAAUUGACUUCAAUCAAUCAUUUUGAACAAGAUUGAAGCUUAAGAAUAGAUCUGCCUAAACUGUGCUUAAAUCUCUAACUUACUUUUUGUCCAGCAAGGGUUUUGAGAUGGGAGCUCUAUAGGUCACAUAAUUUUGUGCCUGCAUCCUUUUCAGUUAUUUAUACAUUAAAUUCAUUGUUAUUUUUUGUAAUUUUGGAAUCAUGCACAUUUGAGAAACUGUUCCAUGUGGGUGCUGGCCAUAUUUAACACAUAUUGUAUCACAUUGAUUAUGUGCAAACCAUCGUGUCAUGUGACGUUUCAAGAUGCACUGUCGGUCUAUAUCUAAGGGUAUAUUUGUUUCAUUCAUUCACCUCUCCACAUUGAUGGCGUGACUUAACCAGUAGUCACAACGACCCCCGUCUCAACGAAAGCCCCUACAACGAAAUCAUUGACAGAAACACCUACGCAGAGGAGAACGACCGCAGGUUCGAGCAUCGUCGUCGCCGAGCAAUCGGUUGAUUCUGCAUCAUCAGUAACAACAACGCCAGAAAGCGAGCCAUCUGUUAAUACAGUUAAACCAACAAAAUCAGAACCGAAGAAACAAACGAGCAACAACCAAACGCUUUACAUCAUCGUGGGAUCUGUUGCUGGAGUUAUUUCCCUUGCUAUCCUGGUUCUAGUAUGUUACUGUUGCUGUCGUAAGUCGAAAAAUAGCUUUUGAUUUGACAAAGUGCACGACGGGCGAUUAUCUUCCUCUCUACUUGGUGAUCAGUGUCUUCAAAUUGGCAAUGCUGCAAUGUUCCCUCCUUUUGGAGUCUUCUCAUUCCAUUUUUACACAUGGUUUCGACUCCCAAUCACAUUAUGCAGUUAAUACAGUUGGCCUUCGCAUCACAUGACCAAUCAUGUGAACACGGUGAUAUUGCAUGCUAGACAUUGAUUUGCUUUGUUUAUUGUGAUGACUUCUGCUUUCAUAAAAUGAUUAAAAUUUCUCAAAAUAUAUGACAUUGUAAACACAAAAAGUAAACAUUUCAAAGAAAUAUAUUUUGAACAGAAAACUACAUGUACAGCAACCUUAAUAAUGUAAGAAUGGUGAAUCAUGAUUCAUUGAAUAAACGUAAUCGUACAAUGGCAAAAUAAGGACUGUCAUUGUAAGUGGACAUGUGUUUGAAAUUGUAUCAAUGCAACUCUAAUGUAAUAGCGGGAAUACCAUUCUUACAUUGAAAUUGUGUGCAACAUUCCUAAUUUGCUUCAUUAGCUUUGGUUUGGUAUUCCCACAUAAGGAUAGCUUCAAUUUGUCAUGAGGAAAACAUUCCCUUUUUUUCAUUGUGAUCUUUUUUUUUAAAGUUACCUUCUGAUCAGUGCAUGAAUUUCAGACAUGUCAGCCAUAUAUGUAUUACAGGUUUAUGAAAAAAACUUACUUGCAAAUUGCAUCCAAUUCGUUUGUGUCCUUAUAAAAGUUGUUAUGGUUAUUUUGAUGAUGUGUAGUAUAUGUCCGUACAUUGUGUUGUUUUUUUACACUGCUGUUACUGUUGCACACUAAGAAGUUUAUUUUUGUUUUAGAUUGUUAAUUUCCUAAUGCUCUAUUUCCCCCCAAAUCUUGAUUUGUUUCAUGUUAUCCUUCCUGCAUGUAUGACAUUUCAUUUCAGCAGUAUUUAUUAUAUAUUUUAUUUUGUAUUUCAUAUUCUUUUAAAAGUAUUACUGCAUGUACUAUCGCCUUGCAUUUUCACUGAACACUAUGUUCUCAUUUAUUCAUGGUA